GGAUGUGAGGGUGAUCUGGCUGUGACAUCUGUCACCCUGUUGAUUGCCAGGGUUGAUUAGGCUGAUCUGGCUGGCUAGACAGGUGUCCCUUCCUCUCUCAUUGCUCUGUGUGCAUCCUCCUGAGGCUGCAUACUUGGUCCAAGUGGAGGACUUUCCUAGACAGAAGGGGAUCAUUCUUGGGUCGAGGGUAUAAAAGUAGGUGUGUUCCUCUGCUAGAAUCUUCAAGCAAGCUCUCAAGGUCCAUUUAUAGGAGAACGUAGGGUAGUCAAGCUUCCAAGACUCCAGACACAUCCAAAUGAGGCACUGCAUGUGGCAGUCUGCCCUUCUUU
rnacentral:snRNA from 2 species